ensembl:piRNA 21ur-4726 ncRNA
UGUAACUCUAAAGGGUCAAAA